CUCUCCAUCGCCGGGUCUCUUUGUUCAUAGCCGGAUCUCUCUCUUUCCAUCGCCUGAUCUCUCUCUCUCUCCAUAGCCGGACUACUGUUUGGCACUUCAAACCCAGACGCAAACGGGCGACGCAAAACCCAGGUGAUAUUAUUGCUCAAAGUUGGUACUGUACGUUGGAAGAGGGAUGAAAGUGAAUAUUGCUUGUUGAAUUAUGCAUACGAUAUUGGAAUGUUCUUGGUUUUGUAAAAUUUGUGUCAUUGAGUUGGAAUAUAUGGUAAACUGAUAUAUUCCAUUUUGAUGUAUAAAUAUGGAAAUAGAUAUAUUCCAUUUUGGUGUGUAAAGUGAAACUCGAAUUGGAUUUUUUUCUUCUUUGAUGCACGAUUCUCUCAUUGCUUUGAAUUCCAUUAUAUUCAACUUC